AUAACGUCGUGUAGAUUUUGGCCU
rnacentral:siRNA from 1 species